rnacentral:misc_RNA from 1 species
AAUAGUUAAUAAAACAAAUUACAAAUUUGAGCUUUCAGAUGCCCAUAUUCGGGUGGUGACGUACAUAUUCAAAAUUUCAUAGCUGUAGGUACCGUUGUUUUAUCACAGUAUCUGCAUAAAUGUUAUGUACGUUAAACAUACGUAUAUUUAUGCUGAUUCUUUAUUAUUAAAUAUCUUUAAAUAUAACACACAGCGAUAAUAUUCGGUAGAAACAGUUCAACGCAAAAUGCGAAAACGAAAUUAAUAGCCCUUCUGGGCUAACGCGCUUUGGGAUAAAAACGCAAAAAUAGAACAUAACAGCUUUCAUUGUCAGUGCUUUAAAAAAAAAAAAAAAAAAAAAAAAAAUCGAUAGGCCUUAUUUAAUUUAAUAAAAUCGAAAAGUUGAGCAAGUUGCAUAUUUUUGAGAGGAUAAAUAUGCCACGAAACCUUCAAAAUCAUUUUUUAGUUCAUCACGCACGCAUAUCUGCACACAAAAAUAACAAUACCUAUUAUUCUUCUGCAUCUCUGUUUAAAAAUGUUUUAAAAAAACAUAUGUACCGAAAAACAUUUAUUUGUAAAGUAAAAUAUUUUUUUUUUCGAAAAUAUUUUAAAUAAAUUUAAAAAAGAAGAUUUUUCGCGAUCAUAUUUUGCCGCGGUUAAGCCCGUGCAGCUGUCUGUCUGUCUGUCAGGUACUGAAAAAAAUCAGUACCUCGGUACUUACGUGAAAACGUGGUUUGGACUUUGCCAAAGCUAAGUUUACUUUUAAUCUAUUUUCAUCCAUUACAUUUUUUAAUAUUAUUUUUCACUUGAAAUUUGUUUUAAUACUUUGUUUUCAUAGAUACAUAUCAUUACUAUUAUUUUUAUUUUCCUUUUUUUUUUUUUUUUUUUUUUUUUUUUGUAACAGUACUUUCUAGUUUGAACUUUUCACUUCUCUAUCUUCCUAUAAUGAACUAAUAUUGUUUAAUUAAACUUAUAAUUACUUUUCAUCUUUAUUAAACUUUUUUAUUUCUGAUAGUUUUGACUUUUGCAUAAUUGCCAAGUUUCUGAAAUUUCUAACAAUAAAUUUCAUUAAACUAUUUCUGUCACUGUACUGACUUUUUUGAAUAUGGCUUCUUUGCAUGAAAAACUGAAAUAUUUCUGUUUAAUUACUGACAUGCAUUUAAUUAAUACAGAGGCAGCUGCACUCGAGUUUGCCACCGAUGCUGGACUUCUUCCCAGAGAGGAUGAGGCACCACCUUGCCCCAAGUGCCAGGCACCGAUGAGAAGCAACAAGAGAAAGGAAUCAAAGCUGGGAUGGCGUUGGGUCUGCAGCCUGAGAAAUCGCAACAACUGCUCUGGCAUGAUUAACCCCAUUGAAAACACAUUUUUUGAAGGUACAAAAAUCCCAAUAAGGGAAGCUUUAGUCAUAACUGUGUACUUUGUUCUAGAUCACAGUUUCAGCUACAUAAAUCAGCAGCUAAAGCUAUGGAGGGAAAAGCAAAAAUUACCAGUAAUUGCAAAUGAGACUAUUGUUGACUUUUUAUCAUAUUGUCGUGAGGUAUGCGAAAUUUUUGCCUCUCAUCAUAGCAGAAUGUUAGGUGGUAAAGGAAAAUCUAUAUUAAUUGAUGAAACAUUUUUGACCCGCCGCAAGUACAACCGCGGCAGGGUAACCAAAAAUAUGACCAUCGUAGUUUUAGGCAUCUACUGUCGAGAAGACAAAGAAGGAUUAUUUUUCAAGGUUAAAGGAAAAAGCAAAAGGCAUUUGUGGCCUUACAUUAAACGUCAUGUUCACCCAGAAACCACCUUCAUAUACACUGACUCUGCUCCACAAUAUAAAAGGAUAGAAAAUUUAUUUCCGGCAGCAACACAUAAAACUACCAAUCACAAGAAAGGCGUAUUCGUAGAUCCCGAUGAUAAACAGAACACUAUAAAUGAUCUUGAGGGUGAAAACAAACUUUUUAAGAGGUCUAUAAAGAGCAAGAGAACAGAUGAUAUUUGCACGCAGUACAUGGCUGUACAUUAUUACAGGCGGUUCCGCUUGAAGCCCUUUACUUAUGAUGGAGAAAGACUUGCUCAGUUUCUACAGGACAUUAAAGCUGUGUAUCCAGGCCAUGGAAAAGUCGGCCUUGAACUUAAAAUGUUGGACGAACCAACAUCAGAAAGCGAAGGAAUUGAGGACCUGAUGCCUCCAAAGAAAUCAGCCCGACAAGAUGAUGAUAUACCAUUCAUUCAGGAAGAUGAUGAUAAAUGGGAGUAAGGGAACACAGACCAAGUUUUAAAACUGGAAUAAAUGAUAAGAAAAGCAUACAAAAUUCAACCAAAAAACAGAGCCCAGAAAACAAAAGGAUGGAAAUGUUGCGAAAAUGUUGCAUAUCUUUUACAGAAAGAGGUAAAUGUGUAUUUCAGUUAUUCUCAACUUUUAUUUUGACGUGAGAGCUAUUCUUUAUAUAUUUUGUUAUUCCUUCAUUAAAAUAAACUUUCUUUCACAGCUGCAGAUCCAAAAUGUCAUGAAAUACUAUGACAGAGGUAAGACAAAAUUUUAACCAUUCACAGCUUAUGUUUCAAAUUAGUGCUUCACUUUAUUUUAAUACUACUCCUUCAGUAAAAGCAACUGUAAAAUUUAUUUAGUUAUUAUUAGUAUAAGUUUACCUACUUAUUUUUCAGUAAAAAAAACUUUAUUGCAAAUUAGGUAAUCCAAAAAAAUAAAUAAAAGAAAGAAGAAAACUAAUUUUGACAGAUAAAUUGACAAACAUAGAGGUGAGUUGAUUAAUUUAAAGGUUUCCAGCCUACUUCUUACCAGAAAACAUUUUAUUGUUAAGGAUAAUUUAUCACCCCUUUCAGGUAAAGAAUAUUGCA